rnacentral:rRNA from 1 species
GAUGAACGCUGGCGGCGUGCUUAACACAUGCAAGUCGAACGAAGCAGAUUGAGAUCUUCGGAAGGAUAUCUGACUGAGUGGCGGACGGGUGAGUAACGCGUGGGUAACCUGCCUCAUACAGGGGGCUAACAGUUAGAAAUGACUGCUAAUACCGCAUAAGCGCACAGUACCGCAUGGUACGGUGUGAAAAACUCCGGUGGUAUGAGAUGGACCCGCGUCUGAUUAGCUAGUUGGUGGGGUAACGGCCUACCAAGGCGACGAUCAGUAGCCGACCUGAGAGGGUGACCGGCCACAUUGGGACUGAGACACGGCCCAAACUCCUACGGGAGGCAGCAGUGGGGAAUGUUGCACAAUGGGCGAAAGCCUGAUGCAGCGACGCCGCGUGAGUGAAGAAGUAUUUCGGUAUGUAAAGCUCUAUCAGCAGGGAAGAAAAUGACGGUACCUGACUAAGAAGCACCGGCUAAAUACGUGCCAGCCGCCGCUGUAAAAC